CAGUCUCCCCUUGGGCUGGUUUAUAACUCCCUCAAGACUUCUUGGUGUAACGUCCUUUCCUUAUCCAUGGUUUUCAAAUCUUUUAGGUUAAAUUGGCUCCCAGAGCGAAGGCAGGAAUAAUAUCUUAAAGGCAAUGGGGAGAUGUCUCUGUGGAUUUCCAGAGAUUUUUUUUUUUUCCAGGAAAAUCUUUUUCACUGUGAAAUAUAGAGAAUGUUCACAAGGAAAACCAACUAGGAACAUAGACUGGCAUCUUUAAGAAUGCUGCUGAGCUGAGGAGGAGGGGAUGUGGCAAGGUCCCUUUACCCAUCCUGAAGCAUUGUGUUCUCCAGUUGUCCAAGAGGACUUUCAAAGAGAUACCUUUUGGUCUUCAGUUUCAGCCCCAGUGGAUAGAGCGAGUCCCAUACUGUUUUGUUCAAAGUAUCUAUAGAAGUCAUAACAUUCGUGGUGAGCAAGCCACUUCCUGAGAAGAAGAAGCUCCGUGGAUGACUUUGGCACCGUUUAGUGCACUUGCUUUGGAGAGUAUGUGUUCCAUGAUCUAAAUACUUUUGGAGGUUUUUUUUUUUUUUGGUUUUGUUUCUUGAGCUGAAAGAAAAACCUAUAUUCUUUGAUAAUCUCUUGAACAUAUUGAAUGGACAAAUGUAGAGUGGAAUAGGCCCACCUGUGAUGUAUAAUAGCAGUAAUGUCCAUCCGAGAAGAUGUCUCCUGUAUACCAUGAAGCUUUCGUAGGUCGUCCUGGGAAGACUUAGGGGAUGGUCAAAAAAGGGAUGUCACAAAGAUUCUCUCAUUCACUGAAUUUAAUAUGGAAGUCCUCUGUGAGAGCUUCCUGCAUGGCUUAUUUCACUUCCCAUUGCACCAUAAGGUUCUAGUAGCCUAUUUCCUACAGAGUGUGUUGAAACUAUGUGUUGGUCUUAAUUUAUGUGUCAUUUUAGCCACUGUUGAGAAUUCUCAAGUAUCUCUUCAUGUGAUCCUAUAAGUUUCCAUGCUUUCCCUACUUCUUGCCUGGGAGUUUCACUAAUAUAUCUGAUAAGUCAGCCCAAAGGGAUUAUUAAAAAUAAUGUGCUCCAUCAACUCUGGGGGGACCCUAUGGUCUCCUUGAGCUUAUGUUUCUCAAACAGGUAUGUGAUUUUGUGCCAUGGGAUACACAAAGCCCUUAAUUAAAUGUCUUCCUGAAG
rnacentral:lncRNA from 1 species